UACCGGGGGGGCAAGCGUUGUUCGGAAUUACUGGGCGUAAAGGGUUUGUAGGUGGCUUGCUAAGUCAGACGUGAAAUCCCUCAGCUUAACUGGGGAACUGCGUCUGAGACUGGCGAGCUUGAGUGCAGGAGAGGAACGCGGAAUUCCAGGUGUAGCGGUGAAAUGCGUAGAUAUCUGGAGGAAUACCGGUGGCGAAGGCGGCAUCCUGGACCGAGAUUGACACUGAUGAGCGAAAGCUAGGGGAGCAAACGGG
rnacentral:rRNA from 1 species